rnacentral:sRNA from 1 species
GGGUGGUCAGAGAGAGGAAGGGGCACUCAGAGAUCCAGCAGGUGCUGCACCAUGAGUGUCUCUGUCCUGAGCCCCAGCAGACUCCUGGGUGGUGUCUCCGGGAUCCUCCAAGUGACCUCCCUGCUCAUUCUGCUUCUGCUGCUGAUCAAGGCAGCUCAGCUCUACCUGCACAGGCAGUGGCUGCUCAAAGCCCUCCAGCAGUUCCCGUGCCCUCCCUCCCACUGGCUCUUCGGGCACAUCCAGGAGUUCCAACACGACCAGGAGCUACAACGGAUUCAGGAACGGGUGAAGACAUUCCCAAGUGCCUGUCCUUAUUGGAUAUGGGGAGGCAAAGUUCGUGUCCAGCUCUAUGACCCUGACUAUAUGAAGGUGAUUCUGGGGAGAUCAGACCCGAAAUCCCAUGGUUCCUACAGAUUCCUGGCUCCAUGGAUUGGGUACGGCUUGCUCCUGUUGAAUGGGCAGACAUGGUUCCAGCAUCGACGGAUGCUGACCCCAGCCUUCCACUAUGACAUCCUGAAGCCAUACGUGGGGCUCAUGGCAGACUCUGUACGAGUGAUGCUGGACAAAUGGGAAGAGCUCCUUGGCCAGGAUUCCCCUCUGGAGGUCUUUCAGCACGUCUCCUUGAUGACCCUGGACACCAUCAUGAAGUGUGCCUUCAGCCAUCAGGGCAGCAUCCAGGUGGACAGGAAUUCUCAGUCCUACAUCCAGGCCAUUAGUGACCUGAACAGCCUGGUUUUUUGCCGUAUGAGGAAUGCCUUUCAUGAGAAUGACACCAUCUACAGCCUGACCUCUGCUGGCAGCUGGACACACCGCGCCUGCCAGCUGGCCCAUCAGCACACAGACCAAGUGAUCCAACUGAGGAAGGCUCAACUACAGAAGGAGGGGGAGCUGGAGAAGAUCAAGAGGAAGAGGCACUUGGAUUUUCUGGACAUCCUCCUCUUGGCCAAAGGGCCCCUGGUCUGCCCAGGCCUUGCUGGUGUUCAGGAUGGACUUGUUUCAGGAACCACCUGGACCAGAUGCCCUACACCACCAUGUGCAUUAAGGAGGCACUGAGGCUCUACCCACCGGUGCCAGGCAUUGGAAGAGAGCUCAGCACUCCCAUCACCUUCCCUGAUGGGCGCUCCUUGCCCAAAGGUAUCAUGGUCUUCCUCUCCAUUUAUGGCCUUCACCACAACCCAAAAGUGUGGCCCAACCCAGAGGUGUUUGACCCUUCCCGUUUUGCACCGGGUUCUGCUCAACACAGCCACGCUUUCCUGCCCUUCUCAGGAGGAUCAAGGAACUGCAUCGGGAAACAAUUUGCCAUGAACGAGCUGAAGGUGGCCACGGCCCUGACCCUGCUCCGCUUUGAGCUGCUGCCUGAUCCCACCAGGAUCCCCAUCCCCAUGGCACGACUUGUGUUGAAAUCCAAAAAUGGAAUCCACCUGCGUCUCAGGAGGCUCCCUAACCCUUGUGAAGACAAGGACCAGCUUUGAGGGCCUCCACCUGCCAUCCUGUCUUCCUGACCCCCACUCCUAUCUCCUGCCUGUCUGCCUCUGUCCU